rnacentral:lncRNA from 1 species
UUAGAUGCAAGAUCAUCACACUUGGUCUUGGUGACAUUCUCAACCCUUUUCUCAUUCAUGAUAUAAUUCUUCAUGUAGAAUUUUACAUUGGCAAAGUGCGAUUCAGCUUCAAUGAAUGGCUUAUGAUCAGCUACUAUCUUUUUUUUCACUCUGCCUUCGAGAUACUUUAAGCAUUGAUAGUAAGAGGAUGAGAUUAUUUUGUUCUUGUGUUCCCAAG